AAAAGUUCAACAUGUACUUUUUUUUUCUUGAAUGGUGUUAAUUAUAUUCAUAAACGAUAAAAAUGUUGGUGUGGAAUUUUAUGGGCAAAACUUCAAGUUUGACAAGUUUUGCAUCAUAGACUGUGUUUUGACUUUUGACCUUGAAGGUUUGACCACGAGAUAAGCCGAUGUCAAAAGUUUAACAUGUAUUUGUUUUUUUCUUGAACGGUAAGAAUUAUAUUCGUAAACGACAAAAAGUUGGUGUGGAAUUUUAUGUACAAGUCGCAAAAAGACAAAAGUAUAGGCCUUUUGUAAUCUUAGAGGAACUCUGUAAAUUCUAAUGAAUUUCUGCUGUAUUUGCAUCCGUCUUACACGAAAAGUGAAAUGACAAGGCACAAUCUUAAUCCUCUUGACUGAAGUUUGCUCAUCUUCAAAAUAUCUCGAGUUCCUUCUGCUUCAAAUCACCCACCACAUACAAGGAGGAAUUGUGUGCCACCAGUUAUUUCUUACUUUGUUCCCACUCUUGCCCAAACCAACAACUCAUAAAAUCCCAUGUAUUCCCCGGC
rnacentral:lncRNA from 1 species